rnacentral:snRNA from 1 species
AUCGCUUCUCGGCCUUUUGGCUAAGAUCAAGUGUAGGAAUCAGAUGAUUGAGUAAAAGAACUCACUCAAAUCACAUGAUCUCUUUGUUCCAGAGCCAGGACCAGAAUCCAGGUCUCCUGGUGCCUGUUCAGUUGUUCUUUUGCCCCAACAUACAUCAAACACCUU